AGGACGAACGCUGGCGGCGUGCCUAACACAUGCAAGUCGAACGGGGAUUUGUUUCGGCAGAAUCCUAGUGGCGAACGGGUGAGUAACGCGUAGGCAACCUGCCCUCCGGCCGGGGACAACACUCCGAAAGGGGUGCUAAUACCGGAUACGAAGUCUGUGCCGCAUGGUACGGAUUUGAAAGAUGGCCUCUAUUUAUAAGCUAUCGCCGGGGGAUGGGCCUGCGUCCGAUUAGCUGGUUGGUGGGGUAACGGCCUACCAAGGCGACGAUCGGUAGCCGGUCUGAGAGGAUGAACGGCCACAUUGGGACUGAGACACGGCCCAGACUCCUACGGGGGGCAGCAGUGGGGAAUCUUCCGCAAUGGGCGCAAGCCUGACGGAGCAACGCCGCCGUGAGUGAGGAAGUUCUUCGGAACGUAAAGCUCUGUUGUUCCUGACGAACCUCCCCUCUAUGAACAACGGAGGGGACUGACGGUAGGGAACGAGGAAGCCACGGCUAACUACGUGCCAGCCGCGGC
rnacentral:rRNA from 1 species